GAUCAGCCAUCUAACUCCAAUACCAUGCACCAAUGCUUGGAACUCAUGCAAGUGUCAUACUCGCAUUACCAAAUCAGGCUACGAAGACAAGUCUUCGUGCGCACAUGUAUGACCUUACCGCUCUCGUCGUUGUUAUUAUUUUCUAAAGAAAAAACUACUGUCAUUAGGCUCUAAAUUUGCAAAGUAACUAGACAACAAAUACAUAUUGUAUCAGAGUUUUCCAAAGAUUUUUGUGGUCUCUGCAAUGUUGUUUGCAGGGAUUGCAAAAGAGUGGCAUUUAAAAGGCAGCUGGCAUUUGAUGAAUUGCUGAAUGGUGGUGGUUGCACACCAUGGGGGACAGUGUUCCAAGAGAGGUCUCAAAGAUGGUUAGAGAUUAGGUACUGACAUAAAAUCUAUCAAUCCUAUCUUCAUGUACAUGUGUGUGUUAGGUACAUCUAAUUAAUCUGUUCUUCUGAUUUAGGGAGGUCAUCUGAAUCUGAGACGAUGUAAAAUUUAUUUUCCUAUUCUUGGAAACUCUUGCGUUGGAGAAUCAUGACGUUCUUCUCAUUGUUACAGGCAGUCCAACGUCAAACAUGAUUGUGCUGAUGUCUGGGUUUCGGCUUGGUGGUGAGGUGCUUGAGGUCACGGCUCUGCGUCAGGAACCUCCUCUUGAGCGGGCUUGUACUUCAUGGUGGUGAGGUCUAUCUUGAUGGUAGACCAGUUGGUUGAUUAAAUGCCAGUAGGAGCAGCUCAGUGAACCACUGAUGUAGUCUCACUGUGCAUCAGUAUUGUUGACCUCAACUUGUCUAUUCAUAUGAUCCAUGUAUCGUAUUUAGUUUCUCUCUAAGACUUGGUAUGCCUGUGUUCUGGUGAUCCGAGGAACUCUGCCUCUCUUUUGGAGAUCAUCCACCUUUUGGAGACUGUUAAACCUUGAUUUGAAAAUCUGGAUGUGUCUAUGACGAGUCAUCCACCUUGUAAGAUUGUCAUCUAUCUGUUACUCCCUCCGUACAAAGUUGAGUCAUCUAUUUUGGAACGGAGGGAGUACCUAUUAGCAUCGAUCAAACUAUUUCUCUUGCUCUGCUUUAUGAAUAAACACUCUUCUGCUGCA
rnacentral:lncRNA from 1 species